AGAGUGUCUGGAGAGGCUGCAGGUUAGUGGAUGUCACAACUUUGGAAUGAAGUUCAGUUGGGAAUGAUCCCUGACACCAAAUCAGCUGCAGGGCUUGGACAAGGUGGAGCAGAAGCAACUUCAGGAGUAUUUAAAUGUUCAGUUCCUGCACCAGGAGGGCCUGAAUUCUUCCCUCCUUGAGGUUCACUGCACCCAGUAGCAUCAGGUUGCAACGGCAUCGCUUGCAGAUGUUUACGGUUCCUGCAUAGGACAGCUCCAUUCUGUGUUUGCACCACUGAACCCUUAGGACAUGUCCUGCUAAGUCAAGCUGUCUCAGGUCCAGGUAUGUUGCGACCCUGACACCCCUUAUGAAGGAUUAUUCGAAGGCUCUCUUGGGUGGUAAAGUUCUCAGGAGGGAUCCAGGAUUGUAUCAAAGUAAAUUGUUGCCUCCCACCUAGCAUCUCUGAUAUUGUUGUGUCUUUGUCUUGGCUCUCUGCUUUCUAUUGUUUUCCCCUGUUGUUUUAUUUUUCAUUGAACGUGGUGAUAACACAUCUGAGGAAUUUUGAAGGUUUGAGCUGGGAAGGUCAUGUGAAAACUUGUCCUUGUAAGUCUGUGGCUGUGCAAGGUGAGAGCUUGUAGUUGAUGUUCUUAACGUUUGCCAUGCUGACUUAGACCUUAAUUUCAUUUUACUGUAUUACAUUCAGUAUUAGGGGCCAUUCACACAGAAUGCGUUUUACCAUUCCACUGUGCUACUUUUCCAUUGUUUUUCAAUGUAAACAUGCAGUAGACGGACGUCUUUAACCACUGCGCUCGCAUCUUGUGUAUUUUGCAGCAUCACGCGCAUGACAGAGUUCUAAAAACGUGGUGCUUAAGUUAAAAUAAGUUCAACUUAUUCAAAGGGGUCUUGGUCCAACUCAGUCGAACUCUGGUGUGGUUCGAUUGAAAUGUGAACGCAACAUGGACCAAAGACAUUUAAACAAACCAAAACAGGACACGAUGCUCAAGCAUACCUGGUUCUUUUCGUCAUAGUCACGAUGUUGUCCAUUACAGUUCGGUACAGGUGUCAGAACCGCUGUCUUCUUGCAGCAGAUCUUUGUUUGUGUGCAAUGGAGGAAUUCCUGGUGCUGUUUUGACUCCUUUACACAUUUUAUAAGCUCUUCAUGAGUUCUCAGCUGGCAAAAAUACCAUCAUAUGUUCACACAUACAACAAGCGCAUUUAGUCCAGAACACAGCAUUGUUUUGGAUGUUCAGCAAGGUCCGUUGUGAAAUAUACAUCAUAAAAGCUGUUUUUUGUUUUGUAUCUUUAGGUUCGAUGUUAAAAAUGAUAAGCUAAGCGAACCAGGACUAAAUUGAUCAUUUUCUUUUUUGGUCCGGACCAAAAGAAACAUAUAUAUUAAAACAAAGUUAAUGAAUUAAAACUAAAUCCAUAAAAUGAUUCCAAGAUGGGAAUCCCUAAAAGGUUCUAUAUAGAACCUUUUCUUCAAGAGUGAGAGUGGACUGUCAUCAGCAGAGAUGAAACUGUUUCUGAAUGUACUGCUUAUGUGCCCUUACCACUUUCAAAAUAUAAAGGAAGAAAUGGUAAUUGAGAUGGGUUUGACAUCUCAUGAUGAAGAGCUUCUUGUCAGCGGAAAUCUGGACUUGCUUUCAGUGCAGCUGUCAUGCAGCAGGUCAAGAUUACACUGACCAGACGGCCCAUUUUCCCUGGGAUGGUCUACUAUUUGAGACUGUUUUAUGUGUUCACUUAUUUCAGAUGUGUUCUGUACUUUAUCAAAGACUAUAGAAUAACACAAGACGCAUCACUCUUAUUGUUUUGAAUGGGAGAAAGAGCAACGCGCAAUAUCGCGGAAUAAGUCCCGCCUUCUAAAUAAGAGCCAAUCGCCGAUUGGUAAAGUCAUCGCGUCACUGCAGCGGCCGUUAGAAGCUCCGGUUCCUAUAGAAACAGUCAGACGCGCGCCUCCGAGAUGAGACGCGAGACGCGCAUUUAGAACUGCGCGUGCGCAUUAGCUUGAUCUAGCCUGAAUAAUACCGUUUUUUUUGUCAUGAUUCGAGUGUUUAAAAACAAAAUUUAUGAGACAGUUGUUGUCAGAUUUCAUUUGUGAUUUCAAAUAUAAAAUUUAAUCGAAAGCUUGGCAAACAGCUUUGGAGAAUUUGAUGUUUCCCCAUUCAAAGAGAUAGGAGCUACGCUUGAAUGCCGAGAGGCGUUUCAAAGAUGGCCGCCGAGUGAAACGACUUGUCUUAAAGGGACUUUGACUUUAUAACAGUAUUCAUUUCUUGUCUAUUCAUUACAGUUAUUUCAAGCAUAUUUUAUCCUGUGGGUAUAAAACACACUGUCAUACUAUAUUUUAGUCUCCUGACAUUAACCCAUUCACAAUAAUUACAUAACCACACCAGUUAGAAAAUGCAGAGUGUUUUCUCUUAAGUAUUUUAUCCAGUAUGUCAUCUCUCAUGUAUGUCAUAGAACUGCUUUACAAU